rnacentral:tRNA from 1 species
GGGGUUAUAGCGCAGUUGGUAGCGNACCUCAAUGGCAUUGAGGGGGUCAGCGGUUCGAAUCCGCUUAGCUCCA